UGGGGAAUAUUGCGCAAUGGGCAAAAGCCUGACGCAGCGACGCCGCGUGGGGGAUGAAGCUUCUCGGAGUGUAAACCCCUUUCGACCCGGACGAAUGACCCGCAAGGGUUUGACGGUACGGGUAUAAGAAGCCCCGGCUAACUACGUGCCAGCAGCCGCGGUAAUACGUAGGGGGCCAGCGUUGCUCGGAAUUACUGGGCGUAAAGGGUUCGUAGGUGGUGCGGUAAGUUGGGAGUGAAAUCUCCGGGCUUAACUCAGGGGCUGCUUUCAAAACUGCCGUGCUCGAGUGCGAGAGAGGUCAGUGGAAUUGCAGGUGUAGCGGUGAAAUGCGUAGAUAUCUGCAGGAACACCCGUGGCGAAGGCGGCUGACUGGAUCGCAACUGACACUGAGGAACGAAAGCUAGGGGAGCAAACAGGAUUAGAUACC
rnacentral:rRNA from 1 species